rnacentral:rRNA from 1 species
GAUGAACGCUGACAGAAUGCUUAACACAUGCCAGUCUUUGGCGAAGCUGUGCUUGCACCGCCUAGCCAAGGCGGACGGGUGAGUAACGCGUAAGGAACUUGCCCUGCAGUCAGGGAUAACAGACGGAAACGACUGAUAAGACCUGGUAAAGUCAGGCGGACUCAUGUCCAGCCUGAUGAAAAGAGAUGCUGCAGGAGAGCCUUGCGUCCUAUUAGCUUGUUGGUGGGGUAACGGCCCACCAAGGCGAUGAUAGGUAGCCGGCCUGAGAGGGUGGACGGCCACAAGGGGACUGAGAUACGGCCCUUACUCCUACGGGAGGCAGCAGUGGGGAAUAUUGGACAAUGGGGGCAACCCUGAUCCAGCAAUUCUGUGUGCACGAUGAAGGUUUUCGGAGUGUAAAGUGCUUUCAGCAGGGAAGAAAAAAAUGACGGUACCUGCAGAAGAAGCGACGGCUAAAUACGUG